rnacentral:rRNA from 1 species
CCUACGGGAGGCAGCAGUGGGGGAUAUUGCACAAUGGGGGAAACCCUGAUGCAGCGACGCCGCGUGGGUGAAGAAGUAUUUCGGUAUGUAAAGCCCUAUCAGCAGGGAAGAAAGAAGACGGUACCUGACUAAGAAGCCCCGGCUAACUACGUGCCAGCAGCCGCGGUAAUACGUAGGGGGCGAGCGUUAUCCGGAUUCACUGGGUGUAAAGGGAGCGUAGACGGCCGUGCAAGCCAGGAGUGAAAGCCCGGGGCCCAACCCCGGGACUGCUCUUGGAACUGGGCGGCUGGAGUGCGGGAGGGGCAGGCGGAAGUCCUGGUGUAGCGGUGAAAUGCGUAGAUAUCAGGAGGAACAACGGCGGCGAAGGCGGCCUGCUGGACCGCGACUGACGUUGAGGCUCGAAAGCGUGGGGAGCGAACAGGAUUAGAUACCCUAGUAGUC